GAUUUCUGGCUUGAGACCUGUUGCCGGCCACGGUUUCGUGUGUCAGUGCAGCAGGUUCUGGCCAUCCUUCCAGUGCCGUCCUGGCUACUCUUCACUGAGUGGUCAGCGAGCCUGGAUCUUUUACUUUGAAAAAAUUAGAGUGUUUCAAGCAGGCUUUAUGCUUUGAAUACAUUAGCAUGGAAUAAUAAUUUAGGACUUCGGUUCUAUUUUGUUGGUUUCUAGGACUGAAGUAAUGAUUGAUAGGGAUAGUUGGGGGUGCUAGUAUUCAGCGGCCAGAGGUGAAAUUCUCGGAUUCGCUGAAGACUAACUUAUGCGAAAGCAUU
rnacentral:rRNA from 1 species